rnacentral:ncRNA from 11 species
CUUUAAAAUCUGGAUCAAGCUGAAAAUUGAAACGACACACAGCUCAUGUGUGUUCGAGUCUCUCAAAUUUUCGCAAGUCGGUGAUGAAUCGAAAGAAACAUCUUCGG